rnacentral:rRNA from 1 species
CCAGACUCCUACGGGAGGCAGCAGUGGGGAAUAUUGCACAAUGGGGGAAACCCUGAUGCAGCAACGCCGCGUGAGUGAAGAAGUAUUUCGGUAUGUAAAGCUCUAUCAGCAGGGAAGAAGAAGGACGGUACCUGACUAAGAAGCCCCGGCUAACUACGUGCCAGCAGCCGCGGUAAUACGUAGGGGGCGAGCGUUAUCCGGAUUUACUGGGUGUAAAGGGAGCGUAGACGGUUUUUCAAGUCUGAAGUGAAAGCCCGCGGCUCAACUGCGGAACGGCUUUGGAAACUGAGGGACUAGAGUGCUGGAGGGGCAGGCGGAAUUCCUGGUGUAGCGGUGAAAUGCGUAGAUAUUAGGAGGAACACCAGUGGCGAAGGCGACUUACUGGACUGUAACUGACGUUGAGGCUCGAAAGCGUGGGGAGCAAACAGGAUUAGAUACCCUCGUAG